rnacentral:rRNA from 1 species
AUUGAACGCUGGCGGCAGGCUUAACACAUGCAAGUCGAGCGGGGUGAUGUAGCUUGCUACAUUACCUAGCGGCGGACGGGUGAGUAAUGCUUAGGAAUCUGCCUAUUAGUGGGGGACAACAUUCCGAAAGGAAUGCUAAUACCGCAUACGCCCUACGGGGGAAAGCAGGGGAUCUUCGGACCUUGCGCUAAUAGAUGAGCCUAAGUCAGAUUAGCUAGUUGGUGGGGUAAGGGCCUACCAAGGCGACGAUCUGUAGCGGGUCUGAGAGGAUGAUCCGCCACACUGGGACUGAGACACGGCCCAGACUCCUACGGGAGGCAGCAGUGGGGAAUAUUGGACAAUGGGCGAAAGCCUGAUCCAGCCAUGCCGCGUGUGUGAAGAAGGCCUUUUGGUUGUAAAGCACUUUAAGCGAGGAGGAGGCUACUUGGAUUAAUACUCUAGGAUAGUGGACGUUACUCGCAGAAUAAGCACCGGCUAACUCUGUGCCAGCAGCCGCGGUAAUACAGAGGGUGCGAGCGUUAAUCGGAUUUACUGGGCGUAAAGCGUGCGUAGGCGGCUUUUUAAGUCGGAUGUGAAAUCCCUGAGCUUAACUUAGGAAUUGCAUUCGAUACUGGGAAGCUAGAGUAUGGGAGAGGAUGGUAGAAUUCCAGGUGUAGCGGUGAAAUGCGUAGAGAUCUGGAGGAAUACCGAUGGCGAAGGCAGCCAUCUGGCCUAAUACUGACGCUGAGGUACGAAAGCAUGGGGAGCAAACAGGAUUAGAUACCCUGGUAGUCCAUGCCGUAAACGAUGUCUACUAGCCGUUGGGGCCUUUGAGGCUUUAGUGGCGCAGCUAACGCGAUAAGUAGACCGCCUGGGGAGUACGGUCGCAAGACUAAAACUCAAAUGAAUUGACGGGGGCCCGCACAAGCGGUGGAGCAUGUGGUUUAAUUCGAUGCAACGCGAAGAACCUUACCUGGUCUUGACAUAGUAAGAACUUUCCAGAGAUGGAUUGUGC